GCAGUACAUAAGCAGCCCUCCCCACCCAGCUCAGCCUCUGCGUGUCAUCAUGCCCUUCUCGGGACACCUCUGGACAUCCGUCUGGCAGGAAGCGUCUCCUUGUCACAGCCCCAUUUCCUCGCGCUCAAGUCGGGAUCUGAGGCUCAAUCUGGAGUUGACGUGACACUGUUUAUAAUUCCUCGCAGUUCCUCCGGGGUUAUCCGGUCCUCGCCAAGCCCACCUCUUGCCUUUCAUUUCAACUCUGAAAUAUGCACCAGGCAAAUUCCACAAACAUUGACGGAACCCUUGCCAAGGUCCAGAACCAUGUUGAGGAAUUGGUCCACAUUUCCUCAUUUAACCCUACUGUAAUCCUCAGAGGCCACUUUAUCAUUUCCAUUUUAUAGAAAUCCAGAGGAGUGAAGAGGACUGUUCCAGGCAACUUGGCUAAUAAAUAAAAUUAUUACGCCUGCAAUUUAUUGGGCAUCUACGA